AAACACGCUUUAGGACAGUAGCAACAUUCGCAAGAUUGCCAUCCAUCAUAAUUCCGUUUUGAAAUUUCUUUUACGUCGCAUGUGCGCGAACAAAAUAUUGUCUGUUAGCACACUGGUCCAAAAAAUAUCCCAACUUUGUUACCCAACAAACGCAGCUCCGAAUUAAAUACGCCUCUACUAACCCCGGCUGAAAAAAUGUGGCGGUAUCGAGAAAGA